rnacentral:misc_RNA from 1 species
UUAUAACUCUUGAGGUUCCUCUAAUUCAUUCCCUCUCUUUCUCUGUCUUCUCUUCUCCUAUCACUUUCUGUUCUCUGAGAGAAAAUGGCGGUCAGUUCUAGAGCAAGAAACACAGAGUUGCUUCAGAUUCCCAGGAAGUUCAAGGACAGAGAAACCACUCCUGAGAGAACCAGAGUCUGGGUUGAACCUAAACCCAAAAAGGGUACUGAGAGAAAAGUCCCUGUUGUUUAUUAUCUUUCUAGAAAUGGCCACCUUGAGCAUCCCCAUUUCAUGGAGGUCCCUCUCUCUUCCACCGAAGGUCUCUACCUAAGAGAUGUCAUCAACCGCUUGAACAUCCUUCGAGGUAAAGGCAUGGCUAGCCUCUACUCAUGGUCCUCUAAAAGGAGCUACAAGAACGGCUUCGUUUGGCA